GCUAGUUUUGACGCAAUUUGGGAAGUUCCCACCAUUGAUCUCAAAAUGCUGUCUUGCAAGGACGAGGGAGAAAAGAUGACACUUGUCCGAUGUCAAGUCCUGGACCAUCAGCCGAGCGGCAGAGAACCACUUUAACACUUGAAAAACAGCUGGAAACUAUAAAUAGCGUGGCAUCAGGUGAAGGUAACACAGCUCUGGGACGCUACUGCUGGGAACAGAAUCUUUCCUCUAAAGUUCUUUUGUUGCUUGACAAUGCAACAGCCCAUUCUAAACAUUUGGACAGCAUUCAUCCUAACGUAACAGUGUGUUCCUGCCGCCUAAAACAACAUCGCUGAUUCAGCCACUCGACCAAGGUGUGAUCCACAUUUAAGGCAUAUUUUUUUUAUGGUGAACUAUCUCUCAGAUGCUGCAAGCAAUGGAUGAUUUUGAAAAUCCCAGGAGUUUACCAACGGUGAGGGAAUGGUGGAAGUUGGAACAUUUGGUACAAAUGGCAAUGGACAUGGACCCAAGUAAAGAACGGAGCCAGCAUUUCAGUCCUUCCCUGCCGUCAGCCCUUUAUUCCUUACAAGCAAUUUUAUGCUGAAAAGCAAAAUGUUGCCAAGCAAACAACCUUCAUCACUAUCUUCAAACCGGUGCUGGCAGUUCUAAGAGUUCUGUGAGUCUUCCUUCACCCCUUGCUGUGCUUGAUAUGAUUCUGACGACCACAACCAUCCAUCCACCUUAUCCACGUAAAGCUGCCCGACACCACAACAACCACUCCCGUCCCGGAGCGAACACACCUGCCACUGUUGGAAUGCUCUCAUUACUCCCUUAGAUGGUCACAAUCUUCAGGAAGUCAGAAAUACCAAAUUUCUGUCAGUGACUCAAGCCCAUCCUGUCUGCUGUUUUCUCCACCACAAAGCAAAAGAAAUCAGCUGGACAAUAUGAAUUUAAGCUGUUUCCAAAUGGCUCUCUGUAAAAUAUACUGAAACUGUUAUGCUUUGUUGUGUGAAAUCUGAGUGAAAUUUUAAUGGCAUAUGAAGCCAUUGAGAAUAUAUCAGUCUGUAAAUAGUUUAAAAUUGCUCCUCUUCCUUCCUGAUUUGCAACGUGUGAGAAUUGUACUACUGACCUCUUUGCAGCAGCUGGAAUUAGGGAUCCUACAGAGCUGCAGCAAGCACUGGAAAAAGCAAGGUCACUUUUUUUUGGACUCAUUCACAGGACAUGGGUAUCAUUGGUACUAUUGUCACAUCAUCUGUCUCCACGAACCAACCACAGAGGUGGACCUGAGGCCACAUGUACGUUAAGCCAGGCAUAUUUUCUUCACUGAGAGAUGCUAGUGAACAAAAUGAGUUUUAAAACAACAUUAGAACUGGAAUUGGAAUUGAUUUAUUAUUGUCACAUGUACUGGCUUUCAGUGUAAAGCUUGUCUUACAUACUGUUCAUACAGAUCAAAUCAUUACACAGUGCACUGAGGUAGAACAAGGUAAAGCAGUGACAAAAUGCAGGAAAAAAGUGUAACAGCUGCAGAGAAAAUGCAAUGCAGGUAAACAAUAAAAUGCAAAAUCAUAAUGAGAUAGAUUGUGAGGUCAACAGUCUACCCUACUGCAGUAGGGAAUGAUUCAAGAGUCCUAUAACAGCAGGUUUGAAGCUCUCUUUGAGUCUGUUCUUGAGAGAAUAUCUGGGGUUGGUAGGGUCUGUGAUUACAUUGGCUCCUUUAUUGAGGCAAUGAGAAGUAUAGACUGAGUCCAAGGGAGAGAGGACUGGUUUUUGUUUUUGUUCACAAGCCAUGUUCACAAUUCUGUGUAGUUAUUCCAUUGUUACCAUUAAGACAUAAUGCUAUAAAAUUCAAGAAUUAGUACAUUUAAAUUCCACAAUCUCUAAAUCAAAGUUUCUGGCCUUUCUAUUUACUCAGCCCAGUAGCUUUCUAACUUUAUUACUGUACUGCUGUUGUAGAAUCUACAAGUGCAUAGAAAUUGGUUAGUAUAUGCAACAAUCUGUGUUAGCGUAAGUUGAAUGAACAUUUUUGUUGAGGGCACAGCUCUGGGAAAGCCCAAGAUGCAUGACCAUGAUGCUUAUGUUGUUUGGCAAACAAAUAGUCCUGUCUUGUAACUUCACUAAUUUGGUUUGUCAUUCCGAUUUGUCAAUGGAGUAACUGUUGCUGGCAUGCCCCUCCUGCUCUCUUCAUUGAUUGUUGAUGAUGGUCAAGUGGUGGGUCUGCCAUGUCAUGAGUUUGCAGACUGAAGUUGAUUACAGAUCUGCUGCCGCUGAGGGUCCCUAGUGCUUCAUUGAUGACCGCUCCUGAGCUGCUAGAACUGUUUGCCAUAAUUAUCAUGGAGACAGUGCCACAUGACAUGAAGAAAUUUAUAUUUUCCUUGUCAAAAUGGAGUAUCUGCUCCAGAAGGUCUAUGUUUCUUAGGCACCCUAUCCACUACAUCACAUCACUCACAUCAUCAACACAUAGCUGUAGCAGUUUGUAUGAUCUACAGGAUGCACUGCAGCAACAUACCAAGGUACAUAGACAGCACUCUGCAAGUCCAUUACCUCUAUCUGCUGGAAGGACAAGGAUAGCAAAAACUUGGAAACACCAUCAUCUGGAAGUUCCCCUCCAAGUUGCAAAAUAUCCUGACUUGGAAAUAUAUUGCCAUUCCUUCACUGUCACUGGGUCAAAAUCAUGGAACUAUCUUCAAUGUGGGUACAUGCACAGCUCAGGGACUGUAAUAAUGCACCACCAUCUUCUCAAAGGUAACACGGAAUGGAUAAUUAAACAUUGGUUCAGUCUGUGAAGUCCAUAUCCCUUCAAUAAAUAUAUAUUGGAAAAAAAAAGAAUAAAAUACUGAACCCCACUUCACUUUAAUGCAUUUUACUUGACAGCCAGAUUACAUUUCUUUCUCUUUGAGGUCAGCAGAAUUGUUGUAAAACGUGGAACAGGCCCUUGGCUCACAAUGUUGUGCCAAACCAAUUAAAUUAGUAAUCAAAUGGUUAGCAAAUCUCCUCUGUCUACAUAAUCCUUCCGUUUUCCUCACAUUCAUCUGUCUAUCAAAAUAACUCUUAGGCUACAUUCACACUAGACCAGAUAAUUUUGAAAACGCCGGUUUCGCAUAAAAACCAUAGGCGUCCCCACUAUGCGUUUUUGAAAAUAUCUCUUCCACACUGAAAUGGAGAUUUCAGCGAAUUUUCUCCUCUUGCGCAUGCGCAGGAUGCAUCUACCGAAAACAAGCGGCAUGUUUGGUGUCGAAUCUCUCCGUAAAAGUGCGUGCUUGUGUAGUUACAGACUAGAAAAACUUAAAACAACAGACAGCUGUUUGCUCUCAUGCAGGAGAACUUAAAACUAAAAAAAAACAAAUACUGGAGCGUAUGGCGGCAACCAACAGGGAGUUCACGGACAGAUGGACUCGGCUGACGACAAACAUUGAAAAACUGACUAACUUUGUUGCAUUAAUAAAGCACCUUGUUGCAUUAAUAAAACAUGCCUGCAUCAGUGUUAUCUUGUAUUUCCAUACAAUGUUACAUUAGGCUGUUACACAUCUAUUGUCAGAGAAGUACUUGCAUAAAUAGGUAAACUGUGGCGACCCAUUUCCUGGCACAUCCGAACCGGCUCACAAUUAGAUAGCCUACGGGGGUUUGCGAGCACAGAGCUUUGGAGCCUCUGCGC